rnacentral:tRNA from 2 species
GCGGGCGUGGCGGAACUGGUAGACGCGCCAGAUUUAGGUUCUGGUGUCCGGAAGGACGUGGGGGUUCAAGUCCCUUCGCCCGCACCA